UCCCUAUGGGGCGCACCAGGCGCGAAAACUUUACAAUGCGGGCAACCGUGAUAAGGGAACCUCGAGUGCCUGUAUAUGCAGGCUGUCCAGGUGUCUAAAACACACCUGAAGAAAGGGCCGGGCAAGACCGGUGCCAGCCGCCGCGGUAAUUCA
rnacentral:rRNA from 2 species